rnacentral:rRNA from 1 species
UACGAAGGGGGCUAGCGUUGCUCGGAAUCACUGGGCGUAAAGCGCACGUAGGCGGAUUGCUAAGUCAGGGGUGAAAUCCUGGAGCUCAACUCCAGAACUGCCUUUGAUACUGGCGAUCUCGAGUCCGGGAGAGGGUGAGUAGAACUGCGAGUGUAGAGGUGAAAUUCGUAGAUAUUCGCAAGAACACCAGUGGCGAAGGCGGCUCACUGGCCCGGUACUGACGCUGAGGUGCGAAAGCGUGGGGAGCAAACAGG